rnacentral:rRNA from 1 species
UACCCCUAGCAAAUCUCAAAAAACCGUCUCAGUUCGGAUUGGGCUCUGCAACUCGAGCCCAUGAAGUUGGAAUCGCUAGUAAUCGUGGAUCAGCACGCCACGGUGAAUACGUUCCCGGGCCUUGUACACACCGCCCGUCACACCAUGGGAGUUGGUUUUACCUGAAGACGGUGCGCUAACCGAAAGGGGGCAGCCGGCCACGGUAGGGUCAGCGACUGGGGUGAAG